rnacentral:lncRNA from 1 species
GACGAGCUAAUGGAACCGCAUUAAGCUUUGCAGUGGACUGAGCUGGGGAGUAGGGGCCACAGAAGUCCUGAAUAGAUAUCAGCUCAUCUUGUUCAGGUGAGCCUGAGACUGAUCUUG